AGAGGGUUGGAAACACCUCGGAGGAAUUCAACAUGAGCUCCAUCCAACUGCCGAGUCCUCUCACCUACCCAGAGCAUGUGAGCAGAACAGUCAUAAAAGAGGCCAGUUGUUGAGUCCUCUCUGGUUAACGCCUGCUCAUAUGGCAAAUGAAGGCACUCAUGAGAUGUCCAAAACUCAGUUGUGUUCAUUAGAGGAUGAUCAA
rnacentral:misc_RNA from 1 species